rnacentral:misc_RNA from 1 species
CAAGCCUCUUAUGCCAUAAAAAAGAUUCAUCAUCAUAUUUACUGCUCCUACAAGCAUGCAAGGAAAUUUAAUUCCAAUUCAAAGGAAAACUUCUAUUUUCCAUAGACACAUCAGCUAGUUCAUUGCCAUUAGGAUCCACAAUUACACAGUGAUUAUUUUUGAAUGUCAAAGAAUAGCCUUUUUGCAUCAUUUGACCCACACUCAACAAAUUUUGAUCUAAAUCAGGCACUAGCAGAACAUCUGAAAUGAAUUUUGUACCUGAAGAAGUAUGAAUGGCCACAGUACCUUUGCCUGUGAUAGAAACUUUCUCUCCA